GACGAACGCUGGCGGCGUGCUUAACACAUGCAAGUCGAACGGAAAGGCCCUGCUUUCGUGGGGUGCUCGAGUGGCGAACGGGUGAGUAACACGUGAGUAACCUGCCCUUGACUUUGGGAUAACUUCAGGAAACUGGGGCUAAUACCGGAUAGGUGCUCCUGCUGCAUGGUGGGGGUUGGAACGUUUGGGCGGAUGGGGAUGGACUGGCGGCUUAUCAGCUUGUUGGUGGGGUAGUGGCUUACCAAGGCAUUGACGGGUAGCCGGCCUGAGAGGUUGACCGGCCACAUUGGGACUGAGGUACGGCCCAGACUCCUACGGGAGGCAGCAGUGGGGAAUAUUGCACAAUGGGCGGAAGCCUGAUGCAGCAACGCCGCGUGCGGGAUGACGGCCUUCGGGUUGUAAACCGCUUUCGCCUGUGACGAAGCGUGAGUGACGGUAAUGGGUAAAGAAGCACCGGCUAACUACGUG
rnacentral:rRNA from 1 species